GUGAAAUUGUUGAAAGGGAAACGCUUGAAGUCAGUCAUGCCGUCCAGGGAUCAACCUUGCUUUUGCUUGGUGCACUUUCUGGUUUGACGGGUCAGCAUCAAUUUUGACCAUUGGAAAAAGGCUAAGAGAAUGUGGCAUCUUUGGAUGUGUUAUAGCCCUUGGUCGCAUACAAUGGUUGGGAUUGAGGAACUCAGCACGCCGAAAGGCCGGGUUUUAAACCACGUUCGUGCUUAGGAUGCUGGCAAUAUGGCUUUAAUCGACCCGUCUUGAAACACGGACCAAGGAGUCUAACAUGCCUGCGAGUGUUUGGGUGGAAAACCCGAGCGCGUAAUGAAAGUGAAAAGUUGAGAUCCCUGUCGUGGGGAGCAUCGACGCCCGGACCAGACCUUUUGUGACGGUUCCGCGGUAGAGCAUGUAUGUUGGGACCCGAAAGAUGGUGAACUAUGCCUGAAUAGGGUGAAUCCAGAGGAAACUCUGGUGGGGGCUCGUAGCGAUUCUGACGUGCAAAUCGAUCGUCAAAUUUGGGUAUAGGGGCGAAAGACUAAUCGAACCAUCUAGUAGCUGGUUCCUGCCGAAGUUUCCCUCAGGAUAGCAGAAACUCAUAUCAGAUUUAUGUGGUAAAGCGAAUGAUUAGAGGCCUUGGGGUUGAAACAGCCUUAACCUAUUCUCAAACUUUAAAUAUGUAAGAACAAGCCGUCUCUUGAU
rnacentral:rRNA from 1 species